GUUAUCCAGGCGAUUGCGCAUACACAUCGCUGUAUGUGAGGAAAGUCCGAGCAGCACAGAGCAGGAUAACGGCUAACGGCCGCCGAGGGUGACCUUAGGGAAAGUGCAACAGAAAUAAACCGCUGUUUUUACAGUAAGGGUGGAAAGGCGAGGUAAGAGCUCACCGAGCAGAUGGAGACACCUGCUGCCAUGUAAACCCUAUCCGCUGCAACGUCAACAGGAGAGAUGCCUGCUCGGCACGUAACUCCGAAGGACGGCUUGAGCGUAUUGGCAACAAUACGUCGAGAUAGAUAAUCGCCCACGACAGAACUCGGCUUACGGGU
rnacentral:RNase_P_RNA from 1 species